rnacentral:rRNA from 1 species
CCUACGGGAGGCAGCAGUGGGGGAUAUUGCACAAUGGGGGAAACCCUGAUGCAGCGACGCCGCGUGGGCGAUGAAGUAUUUCGGUAUGUAAAGCCCUAUCAGCAGGGAAGAAGAAAUGACGGUACCUGAGUAAGAAGCACCGGCUAAAUAAGUGCCAGCAGCCGCGGUAAUACGUAGGGUGCAAGCGUUAUCCGGAUUUGCUGGGUGGAAAGGGAGCGCAGGCGGGAGGGCAAGCCUGAUGGGAAAGCCCGGGGCCCAACCGCGGGACUGCAUUGGGAACUACCGGGCUGGAGUGCCGGAGAGGUAGGCGGAAUUCCUAGUGUAGCGGUGAAAUGCGUAGAUAUUAGGAGGAACACCAGUGGCGAAGGCGGCCUACUGGACGGUGACUGACGCUGAGGCUCGAAAGCGUGGGGAGCAAACAGGAUUAGAUACCCUAGUAGUC